GUGCAGAAGAGGACNGUGGAACUCCAUNNNUAGCGGUGAAAUGCGNNGAUAUAUGGAAGAACACCAGUGGCGAAGGCGGCUGUCUGGUCUGCAACUGACGCUGAGGCUCGAAAGCAUGGGUAGCGAACAGGAUUAGAUACCCUGGUAGUCCAUGCCGUAAACGAUGAUUACUAAGUGUUGGAGGGUUUCCGCCCUUCAGUGCUGCAGCUAACGCAUUAAGUAAUCCGCCUGGGGAGUACGACCGCAAGGUUGAAACUCAAAAGAAUUGACGGGGGCCCGCACAAGCGGUGGAGCAUGUGGUUUAAUUCGAAGCUACGCGAAGAACCUUACCAGGUCUUGACAUCUUCUGACAGUCUAAGAGAUUAGAGGUUCCCUUCGGGGACAGAAUGACAGGUGGUGCAUGGUUGUCGUCAGCUCGUGUCGUGAGAUGUUGGGUUAAGUCCCGCAACGAGCGCAACCCUUAUUACUAGUUGCCAGCAUUAAGUUGGGCACUCUAGUGAGACUGCCGGUGACAAACCGGAGGAAGGUGGGGACGACGUCAAAUCAUCAUGCCCCUUAUGACCUGGGCUACACACGUGCUACAAUGGAUGGUACAACGAGUCGCGAGACCGCGAGGUUAAGCUAAUCUCUUAAAACCAUUCUCAGUUCGGACUGUAGGCUGCAACUCGCCUACACGAAGUCGGAAUCGCUAGUAAUCGCGGAUCAGCAUGCCGCGGUGAAUACGUUCCCGGGCCUUGUACACACCGCCCGUCACACCAUGAGAGUUUGUAACACCCAAANNNNNNNGGGUAACCUUUUAGGAGCUAGCCGUCUAAGGUGGGACAGAUGAUUAGGGUGGAGUCGUAACAAGGUAACCA
rnacentral:rRNA from 1 species